AUGAAAACGAGGGAAUGUCCACAAUACCCGGAUUUAGUCAGAUCCAAUUCGAGGGAUUUUGUAAGUUCAUUAAUCAAGCCUUGGCAAAAGAACUUGACAAGUUUCCAACAAUUAAAGAUCCAGAUCACGAAAUUGCAUUUCAAUUAUUUGCAAAAGGAUAUCAAUUGCUAG
rnacentral:rRNA from 1 species